CGGACGGGUGAGUAAUGUCUGGGAAACUGCCUGAUGGAGGGGGAUAACUACUGGAAACGGUAGCUAAUACCGCAUAACGUCGCAAGACCAAAGAGGGGACCUUGGGCCUCUUGCCAUCGGAUGUGCCCAGAUGGGAUUAGCUAGUAGGUGGGGUAAAGGCUCACCUAGGCGACGAUCCCUAGCUGGUCUGAGAGGAUGACCAGCCACACUGGAACUGAGACACGGUCCAG
rnacentral:rRNA from 1 species